rnacentral:misc_RNA from 1 species
AUAUGGCCGAAAAAAGUGAUUUUUGAAAAGAAUUUAAUCAAAUAUUUGAGGUGUAGGAAUCGAGUUUAAAAACUGGAUAUAUAAAUCCCGUGUACACUUUUUCAAAUGCCGAAAUUUUCUCCUUUUUGCAAACAGAAUUGUAUAUGAUAUAUUUAUAUCUUAUGUCAUUCCAUUCUCAGCAGUCGUACGAGUUGGUUGUGUUAGCUCGUCGGCUCCGCUGGAAUCGAUAUUGUGUUUGUGCUUUAUAUUCGAUUGUUUUUGAUCCGAUUUGUUUUGACCUUGUAUCGGCACGUAGUUGAUACUUGAACUUGUACUGCUGUACGUGUGCGUCCUGUACACUAUGAUGCGGCUCUCCCAAAAUUCUGAUGCUGAAAGUGGUCGCUACCUCUUGUCGAGACUAAAGGAUCCCUCCAUCCUGAGAGCCCUUAGGCUGUACCUGUCAUACCUUCACGACCAACCCUCCAAUGUGUGCUUUGAAGGGCACACGACCACUAGUAUAAAACUAAUGCUAGCAUCCGAAGGACUGCCCAUCGAUCUUGGUUCAUUGCGAAACCUGAUGUAUAUCCGCUUCCAUGACGUCUACGGCAUUGGCGCCGCCGAGGUUGAAGAUGACCUUUCAGCCUUUUGGUCCUUUUUUUCAUCUGAAAAACUGUUUCAGAAUUCAACUCGUGAAGGUUGAUACGACAACAUCUUCAUGCCAACCAAUUGAAUGUGGUGUGCCGCGAGGUUCAGUUUUGGUCCUUAUUUUGUUUUUCCUAUUUAUUAAUGACAUGGCCAAUCUGGAUAUCAGCGGCAAAAUUUAUCUGUUCGCCGACGAUACCAGCUUUACUUGGAGCACACAUAUUCUUUUUAAUAUCAACUUCUGACUUUAUAAACAUUUAGUUGUAUAAGUAAUUUGACCAUGUACAAUAGGUUACCUAUUUUGUAUAAUAUCUAAAUGUCUUGUGCUUUUGUGUACU